GUCUACGACCAUAUCACCCUGAACAUUCCCCAUCUCGUCUGAUCUCAGAAGCUAAGCAAGGUUGGACCUGUUUAGUACUUGGAUGAGAAAAUAUAUUUCAGAGCUAUUUAGUUGGGGGGC
rnacentral:rRNA from 1 species